UUGCUCCUCUGACGUUAGCGGCGGACGGGUGAGUAACACGUGGAUAACCUACCUAUAAGACUGGGAUAACUUCGGGAAACCGGAGCUAAUACCGGAUAAUAUAUUGAACCGCAUGGUUCAAUAGUGAAAGACGGUUUUGCUGUCACUUAUAGAUGGAUCCGCGCCGCAUUAGCUAGUUGGUAAGGUAACGGCUUACCAAGGCAACGAUGCGUAGCCGACCUGAGAGGGUGAUCGGCCACACUGGAACUGAGACACGGUCCAGACUCCUACGGGAGGCAGCAGUAGGGAAUCUUCCGCAAUGGGCGAAAGCCUGACGGAGCAACGCCGCGUGAGUGAUGAAGGUCUUCGGAUCGUAAAACUCUGUUAUUAGGGAAGAACAAAUGUGUAAGUAACUAUGCACGUCUUGACGGUACCUAAUCAGAAAGCCACGGCUAACUACGUGCCAGCAGCCGCGGUAAUACGUAGGUGGCAAGCGUUAUCCGGAAUUAUUGGGCGUAAAGCGCGCGUAGGCGGUUUUUUAAGUCUGAUGUGAAAGCCCACGGCUCAACCGUGGAGGGUCAUUGGAAACUGGAAAACUUGAGUGCAGAAGAGGAAAGUGGAAUUCCAUGGGUUUAGCC
rnacentral:rRNA from 1 species